rnacentral:rRNA from 1 species
AGUGAACGCUGGCGGCAGGCCUAACACAUGCAAGUCGAACGGCAGCACAGGGGUAGCAAUACCCUGGGUGGCGAGUGGCGGACGGGUGAGUAAUGCGUAGGAAUCUACCUUCAAGUGGGGGAUAGCCCGGAGAAAUCCGGAUUAAUACCGCAUGUUCUCUAUGGAGAAAAGCGGGCCUCUGUUUCAAGCUCGCGCUUGAAGAUGAGCCUACGUCGGAUUAGCUAGNGGUAGGGUAAAGGCCUACCAAGGCGACGAUCCGUAGCUGGUUUGAGAGGAUGAUCAGCCACACUGGGACUGAGACACGGCCCAGACUCCUACGGGAGGCAGCAGUGGGGAAUAUUGGACAAUGGGCGCAAGCCUGAUCCAGCAAUGCCGCGUGUGUGAAGAAGGCCUGCGGGUUGUAAAGCACUUUUAUCGGAAAGAAAGCUUAGGGCUAAUACCUCUAAGCCUUGACGGUACCCGUUGAAUAAGCACCGGCUAACUCCGU